GGUUCCAUAGUGUAGCGGUCAGCACGUCGGAUUCUGAGAAUUGCAAACGCCUUCCGGAGACCCCGGUUCGAUUCCGGGUGGGACCU